rnacentral:rRNA from 1 species
GACGAACGCUGGCGGCGUGCUUAACACAUGCAAGUCGAACGGAAAGGCCCUGCUUUUGUGGGGUGCUCGAGUGGCGAACGGGUGAGUAACACGUGAGUAACCUGCCCUUGACUUUGGGAUAACUUCAGGAAACUGGGGCGAAUACCGGAUAGGAGCUCCUGCUGCAUGGUGGGGGUUGGAAAGUUUCGGCGGUUGGGGAUGGACUCGCGGCUUAUCAGCUUGUUGGUGGGGUAGUGGCUGACCAAGGCUUUGACGGGUAGCCGACCUGAGAGGGUGACCGGCCACACUGGAGCUGAGACGCGGUCCAGACUACUACGGGAGGCAGCAGAGGGGGAUCGUCCGCCAUGGGCGGAGGCCUGGCUCAGCGGCGCCGCGUGAGUGACGGAGGUCUUCGGAUCGUAAGACUCGGUUAUUAGGGAAGAACAACUGUCACCGGAAAUAUGCGCGACUUGACGGUACCUAAUCAGAAAGCCACGGCUAACUACGUG